rnacentral:rRNA from 1 species
UACGUAGGGUGCAAGCGUUGUCCGGAAUUAUUGGGCGUAAAGAGCUCGUAGGCGGUCUGUCGCGUCUGCUGUGAAAACUCAGGGCUUAACCCUGAGCUUGCAGUGGGUACGGGCAGACUAGAGUGCGGUAGGGGAGACUGGAAUUCCUGGUGUAGCGGUGAAAUGCGCAGAUAUCAGGAGGAACACCGGUGGCGAAGGCGGGUCUCUGGGCCGAAACUGACGCUGGAGGAGCGAA